ACCCGUUUGUCCAGCUGCCUGGGAGAGGCAGGGUACCACAGAGGAGCUGGCAUCCCGAGAAAGGAUGCCACCACCAGCUGGUCCCUUCCAGAGCUCUGUCUGAACUCCACCAGCCUUGCUUCUGGCCUCAUCCUGCAGACCCAGGGGACACCUCCACUUGCAAGUUCAGUCCAUGGGCACUGCACACUCUCUCGGCCCCAAGUUGAACCCCUUUUCCUCACCCAACAUCCUCCAUUUCAACAAAUGGCAGCGUUGUGGGUAAAAUAACACCUCCUUCAG
rnacentral:lncRNA from 1 species